GCCGCACCUGAGGCAUAUGGAAGUUCCCAAGCUAGGGUUGGAGCUACAGCUUCGGUCCUGCCCACAGCCACAGCUACAUGGGAUCUGAGCUGCAUCUGCAACCUACACCACAGCUCACAUCAAUGCCGGAUCCUUAACCAGCUGAGCGAGGCCAGGGAUCAAACCCACAUACUGGUCAAACUCAUUUCCACUGCGCCACAGUAGGAACUCCUGUUCUUAUUUUAAUUAAUAGUGAUGAACCUGUAUCAUUCUUGAUACAUGUUUAUUCAAGAGAAAAAAUAUUUUCAUAGGUGAGACAUUUGGGUCUACCCAUUUUAGGUCACUUUAGCCUUGAAUAAAUUAUUUUCCGCUGCCUUGUGGCAGUCAUUUUAGACUCAAAGAGAAGGCUCUCUUAUUUAGGAAACAGAGGCUCAUAUCAUAGCAAUGUGUGAAUCAGCUAUCCUAAUAGAGUGCAGACUAGGAGUUUGGGGUUAGUAGAUGCAAACUAUUGCAUUUAGAAUAUAGAUAAGCAAUGAGGUCCUACAGUACAGGGAAUUAUACCCAAUCUCUUGGGAUAGAUCAUGAUAGAAGAUAAUAUAAGAAAAGGAAUGUGUGUGUGUGUAUAUAUGACUGGGUCACUUUGCUCUGCAGCAUAAACUGGCAAAACAUUGUAACUCAACCACACUUUAUUAAAAAAAAAAAAAGUGUGGGCUUGAGGGUAAACAAUCAGGAGAAAAAUUUACAGUUUCUAAGAUUCCUUCCAAUGCUGAUGCUUCACAGUAACCAGGAAGAUGAUAAUGGCUUAAUAUUUGGGGUAAAAAUGAUUAUGAUAGAAAAAUAUAAGUAACAAUCUUUUAUUGAAUCUCAUAUAGAACCAUGUGUUUGAUACCUAAUGAACAUAAUGUCAUUUAAUUCCUCUACAAUCCUAGAAGAUUAACCCAAUUUUGCAGGUGAGGAAAUUGAGGCAUAAUUUAAUGAUUAGCAGAACUAAAAGUCCCAUCCAGGCUUCUCAAACUACAAAGAGCUCAUCUUCCACCUUGUGAAACUUCUCUGAGCCCUCAUCCAUUCCAGUCCUGUUCUUAGCCCUUCCCUUUGCCUCAAGCAGCUCAUUUAAGCCUCACAACAAUGCUAUGAGAUAGGGUGUGGCAUCCACAGGUCUUGGUGUGGAAACCCAGACAACAGAAAAUCCCCAGAAAGGGUAUUUCUCAUCCAUCAUCAGCAACACAGUAAAGGAAGCCUUACGGCUUUCGAUUUUUAGGCUGCAAGAAAUGUCUUACCUAAAUUGCUGAUUAAACAUAGUCCCCAUCUCCUUUCAGCUUAGCAAACCUGUGUGCCAGGGUACAUAGUGUGUGUAAUUACUUAGCACCCAAGUUCUGAAGUCAGAACACCUGCCUCUGAAGCGAGGUUCUGCUACUCACCUGCUGGUGAACUUGGGAACUUCCUAUUUUUGGAGCCUCCAUUUCCUGGUCUAAAAACAAGGACUUCGAGGAGUUCCCAUUGUGGCUCAGUGGGUUAAGAACCCCACUAGUAUCCAUGAGGAUGUGGGUUCAAUCCCUGGCCUCACUCAGUGGGUUAAGGAUCCAGCAUUGCUGCACGAUGUGGUGCAGGCUGCAGGUGCGGCUCAGAUCCCACGUUGCUAUAGCUGUGGUCUAGGCCGGAAGCUGCAGCUCUGAUUCAACCCCUAGCCUGGGAACUUCAUAUGCCAGAGGUACAGCCCUAAAAAGAGAAAAAAAAAAAAAAUGAAAACAAGGGCCUCUAGAGGUUUGCUAUGAGGACUAACUGAGCUAAGCCAAUGUAAAGUGCUGGAGUAAUGCCUGGGAUGGAAAAGUUAAUGUGUUUGAGAAAUCAAAUACAUUAACUUUUGGUGGUGUCAUCAUUCUUGGGCCAGAAGACAUAAGGGUGUAUUUUCUAAAUAUUCAGUCCUUGGACCACUGCCUCAGUGGAAUCUUAAAAAAAGAUACAAAUGAACCUUAUUUGCAGAAUAGAAACAGACUACAGAUGUUGAAAAAAUUUAUGGUUACCAAAGGAGGCAGGUCGGGGGUGGGGGCAGGGAUGGACUAAGGGGUUGGGAUUAGUAUAUGCACACUGAGGCAUAGGGAAUGACUGACCAUUAGGGACCUGCUGCAUAGCACAAUAUUCUGUGAUAAUCUUAUGUGGGGAAAGAAUCUGAAACAGAAUGGAUGUGUGUAUAUAUAUAACUGUAUCACUCUGUUGUACAGUAGAAAUGAUCACAACUUUGUAAACCAGCUAUAUUUCAAGAAAACUAUUAAAAACCCUGUGAUGCCAAUGCUGCUGGACCAGAUCACACUUUGAGUAGCAAGGAAUUAGAAUGUGUACAGCAGAUUCAGGGGUGCUGCCUCAGACUUCGGGGAGAGGGAGGACUCCGGAAAGACCAAGCAUUUAACUCACUCUCAAAGAGAUUUUAAGGCACACUAAAGCUUGAGAAGGCCGUGAGCGAGGCUUCAGAUGGUUCUAUUAACAUUAUUUGACAGUGCAAUUCACUGGAGACACAGCCUGAUCGAAUUCCUGAUUCAUCAUCAUGACUUCAGGGUAAAAUGCUUCUGAUUCUAAGACACCCUCAUCUCUUUCUGUAACAGAGGUAAUGAGUCAAUUUUCCAAACACAGUAAGUAGAUAAUCCUUCUCAAUUUACUAACAUAAUUCCCCGAAUAUUAAGGAGCAUUAGAAAAGGCAUCCUUUUUGCAAGCUCAACUAAGCAGUAGUUUUCUAGCACAAAUAUUAUGGGCAAUAAGGCAUUUUGUUCAAGGUUGACAGCUUGAGUUAACAGUUUCUAUUUUAUACUGAUGUUCUUUUUCCAGUUCCUUCAAUAUUUUCUUUUUGUAUAUAGUAGGUUUUUUUUUUUAAUAUUCUUUUGGUUUGAGAUAAAAUGAAUGUCAUAGAAAUGAUUCAGGGAUAUAAAUUCAAAGGAGCUUUGACCCCAAUAGUCUUUGAGUAGGGCAGUGACCAGGGCAGCUCAUAGGGUUACCGACCACCACAGUUUACUCAGGGU
rnacentral:lncRNA from 1 species